rnacentral:rRNA from 1 species
CCAUCAGUCAUCGUGCCAGCAGCCGUGGUAAUACGGAGGGUGCAAGCGUUAAUCAGAAUUACUGGGCGUAAAGAGCGCGUAGGUGGUUUUUAAGUCAGGUGUGAAAUCCCUAGGCUCAACCUAGGAACUGCAUUUGAAACUGGAAAACUAGAGUUUCGUAGAGGGAGGUAGAAUUCUAGGUGUAGCGGUGAAAUGCGUAGAUAUCUGGAGGAAUACCCGUGGCGAAAGCGGCCUCCUAAACGAAAACUGACACUGAGGCGCGAAAGCGUGGGGAGCAAACAGGAUUAGAUACCCUGGUAGUCCAUGCCGUAAACGAUGUCGACUUGGAGGUUGUUUCCAAGAGAAGUGACUUCCGAAGCUAACGCAUUAAGUCGACCGCCUGGGGAGUACGGCCGCAAGGCUA